rfam:Oryza sativa Japonica Group DNA, chromosome 2, cultivar: Nipponbare, complete sequence.
AAAAAAGCAAACUCUGGAUUUCUGUGUCCAACUUUGACUGUCCGUUUUAUAUAAAAUUUUUUUAUAAUUAGUAUUUUUAUUGUUGUUAGAUGAUAAACCAUAAUUAAUAUUUUAUGCGUGACUUGUCUUUUUAAUUUUUUUAUAAUUUUUUCAAAUAAGACGGACGGUCAAACGUUAGACACGAAAAUCAGGGUUUGUCUUUUU